rnacentral:tRNA from 1 species
GCCGGUGUAGCUCAGUUGGUCAGAGCAGCUGAUUUGUAAUCAGCAGGCCGGGGGUUCGAAUCCCUCUACCGGCU